AUACGGAGGGUGCAAGCGUUACUCGGAAUCACUGGGCGUAAAGCGCGCGUAGGCGGCUUAUUAAGUCAGAUGUGAAAUCCCCGGGCUCAACCUGGGAACUGCAUCUGAUACUGGUAAGCUAGAGUUUUGGAGAGGGAAGUAGAAUUUCAGGUGUAGCGGUGAAAUGCAUAGAGAUCUGAAGGAAUACCAGUGGCGAAGGCGACUUCCUGGCCAAAAACUGACGCUGAGGUGCGAAAGCGUGGGUAGCAAACGGGAUUAGAAACCCCUGUAGUCC
rnacentral:rRNA from 1 species